GACGAACGCUGGCGGUGUGCUUCACACAUGCAAGUCGAACGAGUGACUGCUUUGUAGCAAUACAAAGUAGAAGCUAGUGGCGGACGGGUGAGUAACGCGUAGGAAUCUGCCUUUGAGUGGGGGAGUAGCAGACCGAAAGGUACUAUUAAUACCGCAUACGUAUAUACUUCGACAGUUGUAUAUAUAAAAGAAGCAAUCUGCUCAUAGAUGAGCCNGCGUCCGAUUAGCUAGUUGGUAGUGUAAUAGACUACCAAGGCGACGAUCGGUAGGUGGUCUGAGAGGAUGAUCACCCACAAUGGAACUGAGACACGGUCCAUACUCCUACGGGAGGCAGCAGUGGGGAAUUUUGUUGCAAAUGGGGGAAACCCCUGACACAGCGACACCGCGUGAGCGAAGAAGCCCCUUC
rnacentral:rRNA from 1 species